GUGCUCGUUUUGGCAGCACGUAUACUAAAAUUGGAAUGAUACAGAGAAGUUUAGCAUGCCCCCUGUGCAAGGAUGACAUGCAAAUUCAUGAAGCUUUCCAUAUUUUU
ensembl:snRNA Gm22443 predicted gene, 22443